ensembl:lncRNA
CCCAUUUUAACAAAAAAAAGCAAUAAUGCCGCGGCAGCGAGAGCGCGAGAGAGAGCUUGGCAGGAAAUUGCUGAACAAGUCAAUGCCAAAUCAAAAAAAAGCAGAGCCCCGGCAGACUGGAGGGGGUCCACCUCUGCAGCCCUCACAGAGGCUGAGGAGAUGGCCCUCAGCCAACAGAGUAUGGGUCCUGUGGCUGAGGGCAUCCCUGGGGGGAGCUCCUCUGAUCCCCCCCACCCCCCAGGAUAGAAGUGCCUUUAUAAGAGGAAGAUGAUGGAGAAACAUUGUCUGCGGCAUUCGAAAGGGAAGAGGAAAGUACAUGAAAAUACACAACUAAAAUG